rnacentral:rRNA from 1 species
GACGAACGCUGGCGGCGUGCCUAAUACAUGCAAGUCGAACGCAUUUUCUUUCACCGUAGCUUGCUACACCGAAAGAAAAUGAGUGGCGAACGGGUGAGUAACACGUGGGUAACCUGCCCAUCAGCGGGGGAUAACACUUGGAAACAGGUGCUAAUACCGCAUAAUUCCAUUUACCGCAUGGUAGAUGGGUGAAAGGCGCUUUUGCGUCACUGAUGGAUGGACCCGCGGUGCAUUAGCUAGUUGGUGGGGUAACGGCCUACCAAGGCUGCGAUGCAUAGCCGACCUGAGAGGGUGAUGGGCCACACUGGGACUGAGACACGGCCCAGACUCCUACGGGAGGCAGCAGUAGGGAAUCUUCGGCAAUGGACGCAAGUCUGACCGAGCAACGCCGCGUGAGUGAAGAAGGUUUUCGGAUCGUAAAACUCUGUUGUUAGAGAAGAACAAGGAUGAGAGUGGAAAGUUCAUCCCUUGACGGUAUCUAACCAGAAAGCCACGGCUAACUACGUG